GAGACAGCAGCAGCCGCGGUAAUACGUAGGGUGCAAGCGUUGUCCGGAAUUAUUGGGCGUAAAGAGCUCGUAGGCGGCUUGUCGCGUCGGCUGUGAAAACCUGGGGCUCAACCCCGGGCCUGCAGCCGAUACGGGCAAGCUAGAAUUCGGUAGGGGAGACUGGAAUUCCUGGUGUAGCGGUGAAAUGCGCAGAUAUCAGGAGGAACACCGGUGGCGAAGGCGGGUCUCUGGGCCGAUAUUGACGCUGAGGAGCGAAAGCGUGGGGAGCAAACAGGAUUAGAUACCCCCGUAGUCCCUGUCUCUUAUAU
rnacentral:rRNA from 1 species